CAGCAGCCACGGUAAUACGGAAGGUCCGGGCGUUAUCCGGAUUUAUUGGGUUUAAAGGGAGCGUAGGCCGCCCCUUAAGCGUGUUGUGAAAUGCGGGUGCUCAACAUCCGACUUGCAGCGCGAACUGGGGGGCUUGAGUGCGCCGAAAGUAGGCGGAAUUCGUGGUGUAGCGGUGAAAUGCUUAGAUAUCACGAAGAACUCCGAUUGCGAAGGCAGCUUACUGUAGCGCAACUGACGCUGAUGCUCGAAAGCGUGGGUAUCGAACAGGAUUAGAUACCCCGGUAGUCCCUGUCUCUUAUAC
rnacentral:rRNA from 1 species